UGGGGAAUAUUGCACAAUGGGCGCAAGCCUGAUGCAGCCAUGCCGCGUGUAUGAAGAAGGCCUUCGGGUUGUAAAGUACUUUCAGUCGGGAGGAAGGUGGUAAAGUUAAUACCUUUGCUCAUUGACGUUACCCGCAGAAGAAGCACCGGCUAACUCCGUGCCAGCAGCCGCGGUAAUACGGAGGGUGCAAGCGUUAAUCGGAAUUACUGGGCGUAAAGCGCACGCAGGCGGUUUGUUAAGUCAGAUGUGAAAUCCCCGGGCUCAACCUGGGAACUGCAUCUGAUACUGGCAAGCUUGAGUCUCGUAGAGGGGGGUAGAAUUCCAGGUGUAGCGGUGAAAUGCGUAGAGAUCUGGAGGAAUACCGGUGGCGAAGGCGGCCCCCUGGACGAAGACUGACGCUCAGGUGCGAAAGCGUGGGGAGCAAACAGG
rnacentral:rRNA from 1 species